UACAGUGAAGUCUCUGAUUUGGAGAACUACUGUCGAUUCUUCCUCAUUUCCUUGUAAACCAGUGUGUGAAAGUGUGUAAAGUCAGAAUGUGCUAACAUUUAAUCUUGGAUUCAGAGUGGAACAUCUAGUCUGCAGGAGAUGUUAAGAUUGUUAUCCAUGUUCUGGUAGAAUAACACCCACAACUGUAAACAGUGGAAAAUCAUCAAACCAAAAACUGAAGCAGUAAAACAGCAGAAAGAAGGAGACCUACUGGGAGUUAUCUUCGUUGUGUAUUCUCUUAAGCUCUCGGAUGUGAAGAUUACGCACUCGUUCCAGCCUCUCCAAUUCAACUUGGAUCUCGGCUUCCUCCUACGCAGUGCACACAAUUUUUGAGGCUCAACGCAUACAGUCAUAAUGAAACACACCGAACACAGAACGCCACAUCUGUCCCAACAGCUUAUGAAUAAUAAAAGAGAGAAAAUGAAAA